GGAUCAAGGAAUCGGUCAUGCCUUGGUAUGUACUGGUUUUAUUGGUUCUCACCUUCUAAAGAACCAUAAUGUCAUUUACUUGAUGAUAUGGGGAAUUUGGACUGUUACUUUGAAAAAAUUAGAGUGUUUAAAGCAAGCUAACGCUUGAAUACAUUAGCAUGGAAUAAUGAAAUAGGACGUUCGAUCCUAUUUUGUUGGUUUCUAGGAUUGACGUA
rnacentral:rRNA from 1 species